rnacentral:lncRNA from 1 species
GCACAGGAUGCCCUACAAGUCAUUCGGCCCAAAAAAGUCAAGAGCCCUGCUGUUGAGAAAUCUUAAUUUAGCACAAUGUACUUGAGAUUCAUUCAUAUUGUUGUAUGCUUCAAUAGUUAAUUUUAUUGCUGAGUAGCAUUCCAUUGUGUGGAUGUACGACAAUUUAUUUACCCAUUUAUCCCUGUAAAACAUCUGGAUUGUUUCCAAGUGUGAACAACUAUAAAUAAUGCUGCUGUAAACCUGCAUGCACAGGUUUUGAAUGACAUGU